UUGGGCGUAAGCGCGCGCAGGCGGUUUCUUAGGUCUGAUGUGAUAGCCCCCGGCUCAACCGGGGAGGGUCAUUGGAAACUGGGGAACUUGAGUGCAGAAAACGAGAGUGGAAUUCCACGUGUAGCGGUGAAAUGCGUAGAGAUGUGGAGGAACACCAGUGGCGAAGGCGACUCUCUGGUCUGUAACUGACGCUGAGGCGCGAAAGCGUGGGGAGCGAACAGGAUUAGAUACCCUGGUAGUCCACGCCGUAAACGAUGAGUGCUAAGUGUUAGAGGGUUUCCGCCCUUUAGUGCUGCAGCAAACGCAUUAAGCACUCCGCCUGGGGAGUACGGUCGCAAGACUGAAACUCAAAGGAAUUGACGGGGGCCCGCACAAGCGGUGGAGCAUGUGGUUUAAUUCGAAGCAACGCGAAGAACCUUACCAGGUCUUGACAUCCUCUGACAACCCUAGAGAUAGGGCUUCCCCUUCGGGGGCAGAGUGACAGGUGGUGCAUGGUUGUCGUCAGCUCGUGUCGUGAGAUGUUGGGUUAAGUCCCGCAACGAGCGCAACCCUUGAUCUUAGUUGCCAGCAUUCAGUUGGGCACUCUAAGGUGACUGCCGGUGACAAACCGGAGGAAGGUGGGGAUGACGUCAAAUCAUCAUGCCCCUUAUGACCUGGGCUGCACACGUGCGACAAUGGGCAGAACAAAGGGCAGCGAAGCCCGCGAGGCUAAGCCAAUCCCACAAAUCUGUUCUCAGUUCGGAUCGCAGUCUGCAACUCGACUGCGUGAAGCUGGAAUCGCUAGUAAUCGCGGAUC
rnacentral:rRNA from 1 species